rnacentral:rRNA from 1 species
ACUCCUGCGGGAGGCAGCAGUGGGGAAUAUUGGACAAUGGGCGCAAGCCUGAUCCAGCCAUGCCGCGUGAGUGAUGAAGGCCCUAGGGUUGUAAAGCUCUUUCACCGGUGAAGAUAAUGACGGUAACCGGAGAAGAAGCCCCGGCUAACUUCGUGCCAGCAGCCGCGGUAAUACGAAGGGGGCUAGCGUUGUUCGGAUUUACUGGGCGUAAAGCGCACGUAGGCGGACUAUUAAGUCAGGGGUGAAAUCCCGGGGCUCAACCCCGGAACUGCCUUUGAUACUGGUAGUCUUGAGUUCGAGAGAGGUGAGUGGAAUUCCGAGUGUAGAGGUGAAAUUCGGAGAUAUUCGGAGGAACACCAGUGGCGAAGGCGGCUCACUGGCUCGAUACUGACGCUGAGGUGCGAAAGCGUGGGGAGCAAACAGGAUUAGAAACCCUAGUAGUCCCAUGA